rnacentral:rRNA from 1 species
GAUGAACGCUAGCGGCAGGCCUAAUACAUGCAAGUCGAACGAUACCAGAGAGCUUGCUUUCUGGGAAAGUGGCGCACGGGUGCGUAACGCGUAUGCAACCUACCUUAAUCAGGGGGAUAGCCUCUCGAAAGAGAGAUUAACACCGCAUAACAUCAUUUUACGGCAUCGUAGAAUGAUCAAAUAUUUAUAGGAUUAAGAUGGGCAUGCGUGACAUUAGUUUGUUGGUGAGGUAACGGCUCACCAAGACUACGAUGUCUAGGGGAUCUGAGAGGAUGACCCCCCACACUGGUACUGAGACACGGACCAGACUCCUACGGGAGGCAGCAGUAAGGAAUAUUGGUCAAUGGGGGCAACCCUGAACCAGCCAUGCCGCGUGCAGGAAGACGGCCCUACGGGUUGUAAACUGCUUUUAUACGGGAAUAAACCUCACUACGUGUAGUGAGCUGAAUGUACUGUAAGAAUAAGGAUCGGCUAACUCCGU